GAUGGGGGACUUUAGUUAAAUUCCGUCACUUUGAAAAGUCGUCUGGUGGAAGAACGCUGUUUGAAACAAUAACAAAAUACUUCAACGUUUUAUGAGCGACCUUUGGUAUCGUCUCAAACUUUUUUGUGUACUUUAGAUUUUGAUUUAUUUCUGAUUUUGAUAACAAAUUUUUAGCUUUUGAAUCUGUGUGACUGAAGAAGGAUUGAUAGUGAAUCGUUAUGUAAAUUAUCAUAUUGAA
rnacentral:lncRNA from 1 species